rnacentral:rRNA from 1 species
UACAGAGGUGCCGAGCGUUAGGCGGAAUCACUGGGCUUAAAGCGUGUGUAGGCGGAUCUGUAAGUACCUUGUGAAAUCCCACGGCUCAACCGUGGAACUGCUUGGUAUACUGCGGAUCUUGAGCCACCUAGGGGCGAGCGGAACAAGUGGUGGAGCGGUGAAAUGCGUAGAUAUCACUGGGAACGCCACUGGUGAAAACAGCUCGCUGGGGGUGUGCUGACGCUGAGACACGAAAGCCAGGGGAGCAAACGGG